rnacentral:rRNA from 1 species
AACGAACGCUGGCGGCAUGCCUAACACAUGCAAGUCGAACGAGACCUUCGGGUCUAGUGGCGCACGGGUGAGUAACGCGUGGGAACCUGCCCUUAGGUUCGGAAUAACUCCCCGAAAGGGGUGCUAAUACCGGAUAAUGUCUUCGGACCAAAGAUUUAUCGCCUUUGGAUGGGCCCGCGUUGGAUUAGCUAGUUGGUAGGGUAAAAGCCUACCAAGGCGACGAUUCAUAGCUGGUCUGAGAGGAUGAUCAGCCACACUGGGACUGAGACACGGCCCAGACUCCUACGGGAGGCAGCAGUGGGGAAUAUUGGACAAUGGGCGAAAGCCUGAUCCAGCAAUGCCGCGUGAGUGAUGAAGGCCUUAGGGUUGUAAAGCUCUUUUACCCGGGAUGAUAAUGACAGUACCGGGAGAAUAAGCUCCGGCUAACUCCGUG